CUGGAGGCUGGGGAGGCAGGGCACGGGGCCUGCCAGGUGAGGACUGGGAGGUGACCCCACACCUAGGGGCAUGGCAUCCUCUGCAUGAGGGGCUCUGAAUCCUGCUGCUCACAGACCCACUGACCUCUCUGUCCUGUCCUUCAGGCACCCACAAAGCCAAUGAGAAUUUGAGAUGCAGAGUGAACACAGGACCAGCUUCUACCACAUCCUGCUGCAGCAGAAGCCCAUAAAGUGAUUGUGUUUUGUUGACUGACUCCUGCCCUUUAUGAUUUACAGCCUCCCCUCACAGCUCUGCAGUGAUUAGUACCGUUCUCCUCUGAUAGAGGCUCUGCCAGCAAUGUCAAAUUUGCAGUUACAUCUUCUGUUGAACUGGUGAGAAAAGGUCAUUAACUUGUUGUCUGCUGUCUGUUCCUGGCUGCCAAUGAACUGUUCCCCACAAACCAAGGGUCAAGAGCUGCUCUAAUACAGAGCUGAUAAGCCCUUGCUCCAGCACUGCAAUCUCUGCACUUGUACCACACCAUCAAGAACAAAUGUGCACCCGGCAGCAGGAUAAUGACACGGAGCCACCACUGCAGUUUUCAUCAAGAUGAGGUUUCAAGGACUGAAAC